GCCGGGGUAGCUCAGAUGGUUAGAGCGCCUGUCUGUGGAACAGGAGGUCGACAGUUCGAUUCUGUCCCCCGGUA
rnacentral:tRNA from 1 species